GACGAACGCUGGCGGCGUGCUUAACACAUGCAAGUCGAACGGAAAGGCCUCUUUCGGGGGGUACUCGAGUGGCGAACGGGUGAUUAACACGUGAUUAACCUGCCCUUGACUUUGGGAUAACUUCAGGAAACUGGGGCUAAUACCGGAUAGGAGCUCCUGCUGCAUGGUGGGGGUUGGAAAGUUUCGGCGGUUGGGGAUGGACUCGCGGCUUAUCAGCUUGUUGGUGGGGUAGUGGCUUACCAAGGCUUUGACGGGUAGCCGGCCUGAGAGGGUGACCGGCCACAUUGGGACUGAGAUACGGCCCAGACUCCUACGGGAGGCAGCAGUGGGGAAUAUUGCACAAUGGGUGGAAGCCUGAUGCAGCAACGCCGUGUGCGGGAUGACGGCCUUCGGGUUGUAAACCGCUUUCGCUCAUGACGAAGCUUUGUGUGACGGUAGUGGGUAAAGAAGCACCGGCUAACUACGUG
rnacentral:rRNA from 1 species